GACGAACGCUGGCGGCGUGCUUAACACAUGCAAGUCGAACGGAAAGGCCCUGCUUUUGUGGGGUGCUCGAGUGGCGAACGGGUGAGUAACACGUGAGUAACCUGCCCUUGACUUUGGGAUAACUUCAGGAAACUGGGGCUAAUACCGGAUAGGAGCUCCUGCUGCAUGGUGGGGGUUGGAAAGUUUCGGCGGGUGGGGAUGGACGCGCGGCUUAUCAGCUUGUUGGUGGGGUAGUGGCUUACCAAGGCUUUGACGGGUAGCCGGCCUGAGAGGGUGACCGGCCACAUUGGGACUGAGAUACGCACCAGACUCGUACGGGAGGCAGCAGUGGGGAGUAUUGCACAGUGGGCGGAAGCCUGAUGCAGCAACGCCGGGUGCGUGAUGACGGCCUUCGGGUUGUAAACCGCUUUCGCCUGUGACGAAGCGUGAGUGACGGUAAUGGGUAAAGAAGCACCGGCUAACUACGUG
rnacentral:rRNA from 1 species